AAGUCGUAACAAGGUUUCCGUAGGUGAACCUGCGGAAGGAUCAUUAUAUGUUUGGUUGAUUGGAGAGAUUGUGAAGAGUUGGUUGAGCAGGGGGAUAUGCUUGGUAGAGCAGAUCUGAUUGCAGCAACCAAUCACAAGAGCGAUGGAUGAGAUAACACAUACAACAACAACAAACAAACAAAACUUUUAACAAUGGAUCUCUAGGCUCUU
rnacentral:misc_RNA from 1 species